GGAAGUAGAAGUCGUAACAAGGUUUCCGUAGGUGUACCUGCGGAAGGAUCAUUAUUGUAUAACCGAGGUGCGAGGGCUGUCGCUGACCCGAAAGGUCGUGCACGCCCGAGUGCCCUCACACACAUCCAUCUCACCCCUAUGUGCACCACCGCGUGGGUCCCCCUUUGGCUUGUUCGGAGGGGGGCUUACGUUUUCACACAAACUUUGUAUGCAGUGUAGAAUGCAUUUUUUGUUUUUGCGAUCACGCAAUCAAUACAACUUUCAACAACGGAUCUCUUGGCUCUC
rnacentral:misc_RNA from 1 species